rnacentral:rRNA from 1 species
AACGAACGCUGGCGGCAUGCCUAACACAUGCAAGUCGAACGAGACCUUCGGGUCUAGUGGCGCACGGGUGCGUAACGCGUGGGAAUCUGCCCUUAGGUUCGGAAUAACUCAGGGAAACUUGAGCUAAUACCGGAUAAUGACUUCGGUCCAAAGAUUUAUCGCCUGAGGAUGAGCCCGCGUCGGAUUAGCUAGUUGGUGAGGUAAAGGCUCACCAAGGCGACGAUCCGUAGCUGGUCUGAGAGGAUGAUCAGCCACACUGGGACUGAGACACGGCCCAGACUCCUACGGGAGGCAGCAGUGGGGAAUAUUGGACAAUGGGCGAAAGCCUGAUCCAGCAAUGCCGCGUGAGUGAUGGAGGCCCUAGGGUUGUAAAGCUCUUUUACCCGGGAUGAUAAUGACAGUACCGGGAGAAUAAGCCCCGGCUAACUCCGUGCCAGCAGCCGCGGUAAUACGGAGGGGCUAGCGUUGUUCGGAAUUACUGGGCGUAAAGCGCACGUA